GCGUGGUGCUAUCACAGCGGCAAGAUGUGAUCCUGGCUAAGAUGAGGUGACGUCAUCUCCUCUACCAGAUUGUUCAGUCGCUUUUGUCACACCAUGUGAUGUGUAGAUCAAGUGUUCAUCAUGCGGUACAGCUGGGAAGGAAGGCCGCAAGCAUGUAUUAGUGAACCAAUUGGAGGUGCCGUUUGACUCCUGCUACAUCAUUGAUAUCCUAGAUAUCCACAUGGUAUGUGCAGAAUUCUACUAGGGAUAAAAAUCAGUCGAGUAAAAGAGGGAUGAAAAGUUGCAGUCUUUGUGAUAAUCAUGGGAGCCUGGGACAUGUUCACUUAAACUAUUCUGCUGCCGUUU